UACGAAGGGGGCUAGCGUUGCUCGGAAUCAUUGGGCGUAAAGGGUGCGUAGGCGGGUCUUUAAGUCAGGGGUGAAAUCCUGGAGCUCAACUCCAGAACUGCCUUUGAUACUGAAGAUCUUGAGUUCGGGAGAGGUGAGUGGAACUGCGAGUGUAGAGGUGAAAUUCGUAGAUAUUCGCAAGAACACCAGUGGCGAAGGCGGCUCACUGGCCCGAUACUGACGCUGAGGCACGAAAGCGUGGGGAGCAAACAGG
rnacentral:rRNA from 1 species